rnacentral:lncRNA from 1 species
AUGACCCAUUGUUCUGUCAACUGUAGGCGAAGCAAAGAACCCAAUACAGGCCUUAAAGCUCAAAGGUUGUGUCCCGAAGUCUCCUGUAGCAGCGGCCGCAAUGGUGGUCUUGGUAGCAGCGUCACAUCGGCAAAGAUUGGCAGAUAUGAAAACAGGUUUUCUUCACAAAGCCACAGCAUGCCUAGAUCACAUAGACCGUCCACUGGCACACAUCAGAAACCUGUGACUGUGGACAAUAUUAAGAAGAGAUCGGUCGACAUGUCCUACAAUCAGCCUGGUUCUCAGUCGAGCAUUAAAAGUGGUUGCAGAAAGAGGGCCUGGAUGUUCAACAGGAGACCGAACAACAGUGAGGAAGUAGACAGUGGCACAUCAGAGGUUACCAUGUCACGGAUACCAAUGAGGAGGCUAACCUACCUAGACUGUCACAAUUCUGUACCCAAACAUGUCGCGGAAAGGGUAUCCUCUCCAGUCAAACAUAGUGUACCUAUCAAACAAAAAAGUACCAGAGUGGCUGGAGUCCAACAAGACCCUGAUACUGAACCAUGUGUAUCUGCUGAGCCAGAGUAUCAGUAUACAGAAGAUGCUGCCUGUUCUGGGACGGUAUGCACUGUGCCUAAUUCCCCCACGACGCAAACCCAGGAGCCAGACUCUGAUGAGACUCAGACCCCAGAAUCUGCUGAGACACAGACCGAGGAGCCAGACUCUGAUGAGACUCAGGCCAAUGAUGUAGUGUCUGCUGAGACUCAGAACCCAGACUCUGAUGAGACUCAGACCAAGGAGCCAGACUUGGAUGAAACUCAGACCAAUGAGGUAGUGUCCGCUCAGACUGUGUCUGCUGCGACUCAGACCCCAGAAUCUGCUGAGACACAGACCGAGGAGCCAGACUCUGAUGAGACUCAGACCAAGGAGCCAGACUCUGAUGAGACUCAGACCAAGGAGGUAGUGUCUGCUGUACCCAAGCCCCAGUCUACAACUGAUCCAUCGUUCCAACAACCUAUUGGUGAAACAUGUGAAAUGUCUCACAAUGUGCCUGAAUGUAGAGUUGACCAUGCAAUUGUAUUAGCUGCGCCUGGGUAUCAAGAUAGGGCUGAUGAAGUUGUCUCUGCGACAGAGCACGUAACCAGGGCCGGGUGUGCUACCUCAAAGGAACCUGAGACUGCCGUGGAUAGCAUCACAGCCAUGUCUGGGUGUGAUACAUCAGAGGAGGUUGCUGCUGCCCUGGAUAGCAUGACAUGUGUCACGGGUACCGAGAGAGUUCCGGAUGAUAUGCUAACCGAUGUGGAAUAUGCAAACGCCUUUCAAGAGUGUGAAGUGUCUCAAUUCUAUGCAUCCCGAGCCGCAUUUCAGUAG